GACGUAGGGCGCAAGCGUUGUCCGGAUUUACUGGGCGUAAAGCGCACGUAGGCGGGUUGUUAAGUCAGGGGUGAAAUCCUGGAGCUCAACUCCAGAACUGCCUUUGAUACUGGCAACCUAGAGGCUGGAAGAGGUUAGUGGAAUUCCCAGUGUAGAGGUGAAAUUCGUAGAUAUUGGGGAAGAACACCAGUGGCGAAGGCGGCGACCUGGGCCAAUAUUGACGCUGAGGUGCGAAAGCGUGGGGAGCAAACAGG
rnacentral:rRNA from 1 species